UCGCUAGUAAUCGCGGAUCAGCAUGCCGCGGUGAAUACGUUCCCGGGCCUUGUACACACCGCCCGUCACACCAUGAGAGUCGGGAACACCCGAAGUCCGUAGUCUAACCGCAAGGGGGACGCGGCCGAAGGUGGGUUCGAUAAUUGGGGUGAAGUCGUAACAAGGUAAC
rnacentral:rRNA from 1 species